rnacentral:rRNA from 1 species
AGUGAACGCUGGCGGUAGGCCUAACACAUGCAAGUCGAACGGCAGCACAGUAAGAGCUUGCUCUUACGGGUGGCGAGUGGCUGACGGGUGAGGAAUACAUCGGAAUCUACUUUUUCGUGGGGGAUAACGUAGGGAAACUUACGCUAAUACCGCAUACGACCUACUGGUGAAAGCAGGGGAUCUUCGGACCUUGCGCUAUUGAAUGAGCCGAUGUCGGAUUAGCUAGUUGGCGGGGUAAAGGCCCACCAAGGCGACGAUCCGUAGCUGGUCUGAGAGGAUGAUCAGCCACACUGGAACUGAGACACGGUCCAGACUCCUACGGGAGGCAGCAGUGGGGAAUAUUGGACAAUGGGCGCAAGCCUGAUCCAGCCAUACCGCGUGGGUGAAGAGGGCCUUCGGGUUGUAAAGCCCUUUUGUUGGGAAAGAAAAGCAGCAGGUUAAUACCCCGCUGUUCUGACGGUACCCAAAGAAUAAGCACCGGCUAACUUCGUG